AAGUCGAACGGUAACAUUUCUAGCUUGCUAGAAGAUGACGAGUGGCGGACGGGUGAGUAAUGCUUGGGAACUUGCCUUUGCGAGGGGGAUAACAGUUGGAAACGACUGCUAAUACCGCAUAAUGUCUUCGGACCAAACGGGGCUUCGGCUCCGGCGCAAAGAGAGGCCCAAGUGAGAUUAGCUAGUUGGUAAGGUAACGGCUUACCAAGGCGACGAUCUCUAGCUGUUCUGAGAGGAAGAUCAGCCACACUGGGACUGAGACACGGCCCAGACUCCUACGGGAGGCAGCAGUGGGGAAUAUUGCACAAUGGGGGAAACCCUGAUGCAGCCAUGCCGCGUGUGUGAAGAAGGCCUUCGGGUUGUAAAGCACUUUCAGUUGUGAGGAAAAGUUAGUAGUUAAUACCUGCUAGCCGUGACGUUAACAACAGAAGAAGCACCGGCUAACUCCGUGCCAGCAGCCGCGGUAAUACGGAGGGUGCGAGCGUUAAUCGGAAUUACUGGGCGUAAAGCGCACGCAGGCGGUUUGUUAAGCUAGAUGUGAAAGCCCCGGGCUCAACCUGGGAUGGUCAUUUAGAACUGGCAGACUAGAGUCUUGGAGAGGGGAGUGGAAUUCCAGGUGUAGCGGUGAAAUGCGUAGAUAUCUGGAGGAACAUCAGUGGCGAAGGCGACUCCCUGGCCAAAGACUGACGCUCAUGUGCGAAAGUGUGGGUAGCGAACAGGAUUAGAUACCCUGGUAGUCCACACCGUAAACGCUGUCUACUAGCUGUGUGUGUCUUUAAGACGUGCGUAGCGAAGCUAACGCGCUAAGUAGACCGCCUGGGGAGUACGGCCGCAAGGUUAAAACUCAAAU
rnacentral:rRNA from 1 species